CAAAUUUAAAAGUUAUCAUACAUAUUUUUAAAUUACUGAAAAGUAUCUCAGGUAGAAGGAAUUCAGAAAAACAAAAUAGUUUUGGACAUUGAACAAGUUAUCAUGGCAACAAAUCAUGCCUUAAUUUGCAUAUUUUGUAAAAUUUCGUGAUUUUCCUUGUUUUUCAUCAAAUUUGUAAGUAUAUUUUCGAUUGGAAAAGUAUGUGCGCACCCAAGAAACAACUUUAUAUUUGGUGAGAUUUUGACAAUAGUAAUAAUAAAGCUUCAGUUAAAUUAUUUUGUUGUUUCUUGGCUGCACACGAUGUUUCCACAACAGAAAUAAAGAUGGAAAACUGCAUAAAUUCUGAAUUUUUCAUCGUUUUUGUGAAAACAGUACAUAUAAUGACGUAAUUGUGACGUCAUCACAUAAGAAUCUUAAUGUUUUUCAUUUAUAUUUCUUGACCCUAUGCAAUUCUAAAGAUUAUGUGCCAAUUUGAAAAAGUUAUCAAACAUUUUAUUUUCUUGGGCCAAAACCAGGCCUUAAUGCCCCUACUCCUUUUGUAACAAAGCUGAUAUUAUAGUGUGGAUAUGAACAUGAUGGAUAGAAAACCUCGAAGUACUUAAGGUUCUGAAUCAAUUUAAAAACUAAAAGUGCCAGAGAUUUAACAACAAAAACCUAUCUUCUCAGUAUGCAUACUUAUUCUAUAUAUAGUCUAAAUUCAUACCCUAUAUAUAAAUAUAUUUUCAGAUGGACUUAAAGU
rnacentral:lncRNA from 1 species